GUCCGCUCCCUGAAGCAAAGCCUCUCCUCCUGACUUUCCGGAAGCUUCUGUACUGGACAGAGGAGACAUCUGCAACAUGUUCAGCACCAAAAGGUCCGCUCCCUGAAGCAAAGCCUCUCCUCCUGACUUUCCGGAAGCUUCUGUACUGGACAGAGGAGACAUCUGCAACAUGUUCAGCACCAAAAGGUCAGGGUGACAUCACUGUUUUUGUGUUGUUUCUUGUGGACAUACGUGAACGCAAGAAGGAAAAUGUCACAAACCUCUCGGGCAGACCAUUUGGAAAGGCUAAUGCAGCAGAUUCCAAAGUGACAUUUGAGUCAUAGGCUUUAUUUUCAGAUAUGAUUCAGAUUUUGUGAGGAAAACGAAGACCGAGCUGAUUUCAGGUCAGAAAUGAG
ensembl:lncRNA